AUUUUCAUUUGAGCAAUAACAUUGAAUUCCAGUACUAUCAUAAGAAGAAAAGAGAGGGGAGAAAAGAGGUGACCUUAAUCUUACACAAAGUCUAUUAACAAUGAAUCGCACAGGGAGACCCGACAUUGAAUGUAUCCGGAAUCGAAGCAUGACUCGUCGGGUGUGGAUGUGGCCGGAGUUGAAGUAAAGGUACACGAAAUUAGGGCUCGCCGGCUUCUACAAUGGUGGGGGCAGACUCGUCGGAGACGUCUGUGGUGUACGCAUACUCGUCGGCGUCGGCUAUGGCGGAAUUGAAGAGUCGAAUAGCAGAUAGGGAAGGGAUCGUGACGAAAGAAAUGCAGAUGAAAGCAGGCAGUGGAGUCGGUGGAUGGAACUUUACUGUGGAAGAAAGAAGCAGUGGAUAUGGAUUGCGAAGGUUGUCUACUAAGAUGAUAGAAGCGGUGCCUUAACCCCGGUAAAGUAACCCUCUUUGGGAGAAAAGACGUAAAACAUGGAGAGAAGUAGGCGGUGGAUCAUGAAGAUGGCAUAAGAGGAGUGGCAGGUGAGGCGGUGAGGAAAUACAGAAGCCACGUAUCGUGAAGGUUGGCGNNNNNNNNNNNNNNNNNNNNNNNNNNNNNNNNNNNNNNNNNNNNNNNNNNNNNNNNNNNNNNNNNNNNNNNNNNNNNNNNNNNNNNNNNNNNNNAUAUAUAUAAAAUGAACAAUAUUAAAUUAUAUGGUGUUAUAUUAUAUACUAUGUGUGACAGUCUAGGGGUGUAAACGAGCCGAGUCGAGUAAAAUACUACCAAGCUCGAAGCUCAGCUCGACUAAAAUACUCGAGCUCGAAACUCGGCUCNACUCGAGCUCGAAACUCAACUCGAGCCUUGAUUUUAAGCUCAAGCUCGGGCUCGUGAAAUACUCGACAGUCUCGAGCUCGGCUCGACUAAUACUUAAAAAAAAUCAAAAUCAUUAAAUUGAGUAAGAAAUAUUAAGCAUUUCAAAUGUAAAUGUCCAAACUACAAAAAAAAAAAACCACUAUUAAUCACCUAAUAUCAAUAUAACAUCAACCAUAUAUGUCAUAAAUAAAUAAUUAUACAGAAAUGACAUAUAUGUUAUAAAUGAACAAUUAUAAAGAAAUAAUAUAUAUGUAAAUUACACUAAGCUCGACUAAGCUCGCGAGCCUUACGAGCUGAGUAUUUUUGUACUCGAGCUCGGCUCGAUAAGGUACUCGAGUAGCUCGAGCUCGAGCUCGGCUCGAUUAAGGUCGAGUCGAUUUCGAGUAUUUUCCGAGUCGGUCUCGAGUUUCUCGCGAGUUGACUUGUCUCACUUACACCCCUAUGUGACACCCAUGUAUUAUAUGAGUUUAUUUAGAAAAAAUUAAAUAUAAAAUUAUAACAAUUUNAGUGAAGUAAAAAAAAUAUGAAAUUUACCUUUAACUGAACUUCUUUCCCACAUUCCAUGUAAAACUGUAACCAUAAUGCAGCAACAAACACCAAAAUCAUCGUAAUUCACAGGCACAUAACUCAUUGACACACCAAAUAUGAUGCAAAACUAAAAUUAUGAUGUAAAUUAUGAAAAAUGUUACAAAAGUAACAAAAAAAAGUGGGUACCUUUCCCAAAGAAUGUAGAUGNGGGUACCUUUCCCAAAGAAUGAUAGAUGAUUGUAGUUUCCAUUAUCGUCUCUGAUCUUGAUUUCACACCAAUUUAUGCAUCUUUAGACCAUACAGUAGACAUGGAGAAAGAAGAAAACACGAACGAAAGGUUACCCGGAUUAGGGUCUAAAACAGAGGAUGGUAGAGGAGAACGCUGGUUGAUUUGAGGCUGCAACCAACAACAAUAGUGGGAAGUAAGAAACUCAAAAUUAGUUGUGUUGUACCUGUUGAUUUUCAUUUGAGCAAUAGCAUUGAAUUCCAGUACCAUCAUAAGAAGAAAAGAGAGGGGAGAAAAGAGGUGACUUUAAUCUCACACAAAGUCUAUUAACAAUGAAUCGCACAGGGAGACCCGACAUUGAAUGUAUCCGGAAUCGAAGCAUGACUCGUCGGGUGUGGAUGUGGCCGGAGUUGAAGUAAAGGUACACGAAAUUAGGGCUCGCCGGCUUCUACAAUGGUGGGGGCAGACUCGUCGGAGACGUCUGUGGUGUACGCAUACUCGUCGGCGUCGGCUAUGGCGGAAUUGAAGAGUCGAAUAGCAGAUAGGGAAGGGAUCGUGACGAAAGAAAUGCAGAUGAAAGCAGGCAGUGGAGUCGGUGGAUGGAACUUUACUGUGGAAGAAAGAAGCAGUGGAUAUGGAUUGGGAAGGUUGUCUACUAAGAUGAUAGAAGCGGUACCUUAACCCCGGUAAAGCAACCCUCUUUGGGAGAAAAGACGUAAAACAUGGAGAGAAGUAGGCGGUGGAUCAUGAAGAUGGCAUAAGAGGAGUGGCAGGUGAGGCGGUGAGGAAAUACAGAAGCCACGUAUCGUGAAGGUUGGCGAUGGUGGAAUAAACCCAAAACGGAGAAAUUAAAUAAAUCAAAAUAUAACAGAAAUGACCAGAACUGUAACUAAAGACAU
rnacentral:lncRNA from 1 species